UACGUAGGUGGCAAGCGUUAUCCGGAAUUAUUGGGCGUAAAGAGCUCGUAGGCGGCUCAGCAAGUCGGCUGUGAAAUCCCGAGGCUCAACCUCGGAACUGCAGUCGAUACUGCUGUGGCUAGAGUCUGGUAGAGGAGAAUGGAAUUCCCGGUGUAGCGGUGAAAUGCGCAGAUAUCGGGAGGAACACCAGUGGCGAAGGCGGGUAACUGGACUGCAACUGACGCUGAGGCGCGAAAGUGUGGGGAGCAAACAGGA
rnacentral:rRNA from 1 species